rnacentral:piRNA from 1 species
UACGCCUUCCCCAAGGCCGUCAGUGUC